UACGAAGGGGGCGAGCGUUGUUCGGAUUUACUGGGCGUAAAGGGCGCGCAGGCGGCUCAUUUUGUCAGGCGUGAAAGCCCCGGGCUUAACCUGGGAACUGCGUUUGAUACGGAUGGGCUAGAGUUCGGGAGAGGAGAGUGGAAUUCCCAGUGUAGAGGUGAAAUUCGUAGAUAUUGGGAAGAACACCAGUGGCGAAGGCGGCUCACUGGCCCGGUACUGACGCUGAGAGUGCGAAAGCGUGGGGAGCAAACAGG
rnacentral:rRNA from 1 species